GAUGAACGCUGGCGGCGUGCCUAAUACAUGCCAGUCGAGCGAACAGACGAGGAGCUUGCUCCUCUGACGUUAGCGGCGGACGGGUGAGUAACACGUGGAUAACCUACCUAUAAGACUGGGAUAACUUCGGGAAACCGGAGCUAAUACCGGAUAAUAUAUUGAACCGCAUGGUUCAAUAGUGAAAGACGGUUUUGCUGUCACUUAUAGAUGGACCCGCGCCGCAUUAGCUAGUUGGUAAGGUAACGGCUUACCAAGGCAACGAUGCGUAGCCGACCUGAGAGGGUGAUCGGCCACACUGGAACUGAGACACGGUCCAGACUCCUACGGGAGGCAGCAGUAGGGAAUCUUCCGCAAUGGGCGAAAGCCUGACGGAGCAACGCCGCGUGAGUGAUGAAGGUCUUCGGAUCGUAAAACUCUGUUAUUAGGGAAGAACAAAUGUGUAAGUAACUAUGCACGUCUUGACGGUACCUAAUCAGAAAGCCACGGCUAACUACGUG
rnacentral:rRNA from 1 species